GAUUAGUGGCGAACGGGUGAGUAACACGUGGGCAAUCUGCCCUGUACUUUGGGAUAAGCCUGGGAAACUGGGUCUAAUACCGGAUAUCACCAGUCCUCGCAUGGGGGUUGGUUGAAAGUUCUGGCGGUACAGGAUGAGCCCGCGGCCUAUCAGCUUGUUGGUGGGGUAAUGGCCUACCAAGGCGACGACGGGUAGCCGGCCUGAGAGGGUGACCGGCCACACUGGGACUGAGACACGGCCCAGACUCCUACGGGAGGCAGCAGUGGGGAAUAUUGCACAAUGGGCGAAAGCCUGAUGCAGCGACGCCGCGUGAGGGAUGACGGCCUUCGGGUUGUAAACCUCUUUCGCCAGGGACGAAGCGCAAGUGACGGUACCUGGAUAAGAAGCACCGGCUAACUACGUGCCAGCAGCCGCGGUAAUACGUAGGGUGCAAGCGUUGUCCGGAAUUAUUGGGCGUAAAGAGCUCGUAGGCGGUUUGUCGCGUCGUUCGUGAAAACUCCACGCUUAACGUGGAGCGUGCGGGCGAUACGGGCAGACUUGAGUUCGGUAGGGGAGACUGGAAUUCCUGGUGUAGCGGUGAAAUGCGCAGAUAUCAGGAGGAACACCGGUGGCGAAGGCGGGUCUCUGGGCCGAUACUGACGCUGAGGAGCGAAAGCGUGGGGAGCGAACAGGAUUAGAUACCCUGGUAGUCCACGCUGUAAACGUUGGGCGCUAGGUGUGGGCGACAUCCACGUUGUCCGUGCCGUAGCUA
rnacentral:rRNA from 1 species